AACGAACGCUGGCGGCAUGCCUAACACAUGCAAGUCGAACGAGACCUUCGGGUCUAGUGGCGCACGGGUGCGUAACGCGUGGGAACCUGCCCUUAGGUUCGGAAUAACUCCCCGAAAGGGGUGCUAAUACCGGAUAAUGUCUUCGGACCAAAGAUUUAUCGCCUUUGGAUGGGCCCGCGUUGGAUUAGCUAGUUGGUAGGGUAAAAGCCUACCAAGGCGACGCUCCAUAGCUGGUCUGAGAGGAUGAUCAGCCACACUGGGACUGAGACACGGCCCAGACUCCUACGGGAGGCGGCAGUGGGGAAUAUUGGACAGUGGGCGAAAGCCUGAUCCAGCAAUGCCGCGUGAGUGAUGAAGGCCUUAGGGUUGUAAAGCUCUUUUACCCGGGAUGAUAAUGACAGUACCGGGAGAAUAAGCGCCGGCUAACUCCGUG
rnacentral:rRNA from 1 species